rnacentral:snRNA from 1 species
UACUUUAAAGGGAACAGAUC